rnacentral:rRNA from 1 species
UGAGGAAUCUUGCGCAAUGGGGGAAACCCUGACGCAGCAACGCCGCGUGAGUGAGGAAGGCCUUCGGGUCGUAAAGCUCUGUCAGAUGGGAAGAAAUGGGUGGGGGUGAAUAUCGUCCACCCUUGACGGUACCAUCAGAGGAAGCACCGGCUAACUCCGUGCCAGCAGCCGCGGUAAUACGGGGGUGCAAGCGUUGUUCGGAAUCAUUGGGCGUAAAGCGCGCGCAGGCGGCUUGGUAAGUCAGAUGUGAAAGCCCUGGGCUUAACUCAGGAAGUGCAUUUGAUACUGCCUCGCUAGAGUACGGGAGAGGAAAGUGGAAUUCCUGGUGUAGAGGUGAAAUUCGUAGAUAGUCAGGGGGAACACCGGUGGCGAAGGCGACUUUCUGGCCCGAUACUGACGCUC